rnacentral:rRNA from 1 species
GAUGAACGCUGGCGGCGUGCCUAAUACAUGCAAGUCGAGCGAACAGACGAGGAGCUUGCUCCUCUGACGUUAGCGGCGGACGGGUGAGUAACACGUGGAUAACCUACCUAUAAGACUGGGAUAACUUCGGGAAACCGGAGCUAAUACCGGAUAAUAUAUUGAACCGCAUGGUUCAAUAGUGAAAGACGGUUUUGCUGUCACUUAUAGAUGGAUCCGCGCCGCAUUAGCUAGUUGGUAAGGUAACGGCUUACCAAGGCAACGAUGCGUAGCCGACCUGAGAGGGUGAUCGGCCACACUGGAACUGAGACACGGUCCAGACUCCUACGGGAGGCAGCAGUAGGGAAUCUUCCGCAAUGGGCGAAAGCUUGACGGAGCAACGCCGCGUGUGUGAUGAAGGUCUUCGGAUCGUAAAACUCUGUUAUUAGGGAAGAACAAAUGUGUAAGUAACUAUGCACGUCUUGACGGUACCUAAUCAGAAAGCCACGGCUAACUACGUG